rnacentral:rRNA from 1 species
UACGUAGGGUGGAAGCGUUAAUCGGAAUUACUGGGCGUAAAGCGUGCGCAGGCGGUUAUGCAAGACAGAUGUGAAAUCCCCGGGCUCAACCUGGGAACUGCAUUUGUGACUGCGUAGCUAGAGUGCGGCAGAGGGGGAUGGAAUUCCGCGUGUAGCAGUGAAAUGCGUAGAUAUGCGGAGGAACACCGAUGGCGAAGGCAAUCCCCUGGGCCUGCACUGACGCUCAUGCACGAAAGCGUGGGGAGCAAACAGG